UCUCGGCUCUUGCAUCGAUGAAGAACGUAGUGAAAUGCGAUACUUGGUGUGAAUUGCAGAAUCUCGUGAACCAUUGAGUCUUUGAACGCAAGUUGUGCCCGAGGCCUUGUGGCCGAGGGCACGCCUGUUUGGGCGUCAUGGCAUCGUCGCCUUUGCUCCUUGCUU
rnacentral:rRNA from 1 species